rnacentral:rRNA from 1 species
AUUGAACGCUGGCGGCAGGCCUAACACAUGCAAGUCGAGCGGAGCUGCGGCCGGGUGAGUAAUGCCUAGGAAUCUGCCUGGUAGUGGGGGAUAACGUCCGGCAACGGGCGCUAAUACCGCAUACUAUCAGAUGAGCCUAGGUCGGAUUAGCUAGUUGGUGGGGUAAAGGCCUACCAGGGCGACGAUCCGUACCUGGGCUGAGAGGAUGAUCAGUCAACCUGGAACUGAGACACGGUCAAGACGCCUACGGGCGGAAGGAGUGGGGAAUAUUGGACAAUGGGCGAAAGCCUGAUCCAGCCAUGCCGCGUGUGUGAAGAAGGUCUUCGGAUUGUAAAGCACUUUAAGUUGGGAGGCGUUACCAACAGAAUAAGCACCAGCUAACUUCGUGCCAGCAGCCGCGGUAAUUC